UACAGAGGUCUCAAGCGUUGUUCGGAUUCAUUGGGCGUAAAGGGUGCGUAGGCGGCGCGGUAAGUCGGGUGUGAAAUCUCGGAGCUUAACUCCGAAACUGCAUUCGAUACUGCCGUGCUUGAGGACUGGAGAGGAGACUGGAAUUUACGGUGUAGCGGUGAAAUGCGCAGAUAUCGGGAGGAACACCAAAUGGCGAAGGCAGCUCGCUGGGACGGUACUGACGCUGAGACGCGAAAGCGUGGGGAGCAAACAGGG
rnacentral:rRNA from 1 species